AAAGUUCAGCCCUGAAAAUGCAGCUCAGCAUAUCAGGUACCGAGCCUUGAGUAAGUACUGGUAACAGUGCGUGCUAAGCGUAGGCAGGGAAAUAAUAGGCCGUAAGCCAAAGAGCUGAAGUGAUUGAGCCUCGUAAACAUAAUACUGAGAUAGCCGAUGAUUUGGAAUGUAUCAGAAGGCAAUAUCGAACGCUGCGAGCCAUGGAGUGCUAAGCACGGGGUGAGUAGGCCG
rnacentral:ncRNA from 1 species